rnacentral:lncRNA from 10 species
CAGCCUUGGAUCAAAUGCUGCAUGAGAGACAUGUAAGAGUUUUAAUCAUGGAGUGCAGUAGACUAGCUGGGACGUCUGUGACAGCUUGAUUUCUUCCACAUCUCAGAUUUCCACAGUGUACCCCGGUGUUUUCUCACCUUCAGUCACUCAUAGGCAUCUUAGAAGUUACAGAGACCGAACCUUAAAGCAAACCAGGAACCUCCAGAACUCUCUCCUACCAGGAGGCAAAUUGAGAUUGCCUCAACUUACAACCUAGCUCUGCCCGUGACGGUGCCAGCCAGACCACCUGAUAGAUAAGACAUCCGAAGCAAGUCACAUAGACUCUGCACUUCAUCGCCCUCUCCCCUGCAUGCCAUUCACGCCAAGCCCCACUUUCAAAGCUCCUGCCUUCUGCCCCAAAGGCUUUAGUGGCUUCCUCAAGGCAGCCUGUACUACUUCCCCUCAACUAGCUCUGGAAUAAAGCCGGUGAGGAAGCUGAGAACCAGAUAGAUUCAUCCAGUGUCCUAGGACACACGGGAUAGAACGCAAGGAUCUCACUUAGCCCAGUGGAUGGCAGUCAAUUAAUGGAGCGAGUGGCUUAGU